rnacentral:rRNA from 1 species
UACGUAGGGUGCAAGCGUUGUCCGGAAUUAUUGGGCGUAAAGAGCUCGUAGGCGGUUUGUUGCGUCGGCUGUGAAAACCCGGGGCUCAACCCCGGGCCUGCAGCCGAUACGGGCAGACUAGAGUUCGGCAGGGGAGACUGGAAUUCCUGGUGUAGCGGUGAAAUGACGCAGAUAUCAGGAGGAACACCGGUGGCGAAGGCGGGUCUCUGGGCCGAUACUGACGCUGAGGCGCGAAGGCGUGGGGAGCAAACAGG